UACGUAGGGGCAAGCGUUGUCCGGAAUCAUUGGGCGUAAAGCGCGUGUAGGCGGCUUGGUAAGUCCGCUCUGAAAGCCCGGGGCUCAACCCCGGGAGGCGGGUGGAUACUGUCAAGCUCGAGUCCGGAAGAGGCGAGUGGAAUUCCUGGUGUAGCGGUGAAAUGCGCAGAUAUCAGGAGGAACACCAAUGGCGAAGGCAGCUCGCU
rnacentral:rRNA from 1 species